rnacentral:rRNA from 1 species
AGAGUUUGAUCAUGGCUCAGAACGAACGCUGGCGGCAUGCCUAACACAUGCAAGUCGAACGCUUUUGGGGCUUCGGCCCCAAGGGAGUGGCGCACGGGUGAGUAGCGCGUGGGAACCUGCCCUGUUGUGGGGGAUAACCGAGGGAAACUUCGGCUAAUACCGCAUAAGCCGGUUGUCUUGAGAGAGAUGGCCGGGAAAGAUUUAUCGCGACAGGAGGGGCCCGCGUCGGAUUAGCUAGUUGGUGGGGUAACGGCCCACCAAGGCUGUGAUCCGUAGCUGGUCUGAGAGGAUGAUCAGCCACACUGGGACUGAGACACGGCCCAGACUCCUACGGGAGGCAGCAGUGGGGAAUAUUGGACAAUGGGCGCAAGCCUGAUCCAGCAAUGCCGCGUGAGUGAUGAAGGCCUUAGGGUUGUAAAGCUCUUUCGCCCGCGACGAUGAUGACGGUAGCGGGAGAAGAAGCCCCGGCUAACUUCGUGCCAGCAGCCGCGGUAAUACGAAGGGGGCGAGCGUUGUUCGGAUUUACUGGGCGUAAAGGGCGCGUAGGCGGCCCUCCUUGUCGCGUGUGAAAGCCCCGGGCUCAACCUGGGAAUUGCGCGCGAAACGGGGGGGCUUGAGUUCGGGAGAGGAGCGUGGAAUUCCCAGUGUAGAGGUGAAAUUCGUAGAUAUUGGGAAGAACACCGGUGGCGAAGGCGGCGCUCUGGACCGAGACUGACGCUGAGGCGCGAAAGCGUGGGGAGCAAACAGGAUUAGAUACCCUCGUAGUCC